rnacentral:tRNA from 1 species
UAAGUCUAUAACUCAGCUGGUAGAGUGGUUGCCUUACAAGCAAUAGGUCAUCGGUUCGAAUCCGGUUAGACUUAU